rnacentral:rRNA from 1 species
AUUGAACGCUGGCGGCAUGCCUUACACAUGCAAGUCGAACGGUAACAGGUCUUCGGAUGCUGACGAGUGGCGAACGGGUGAGUAAUACAUCGGAACGUGCCUAGUAGUGGGGGAUAACUACUCGAAAGAGUGGCUAAUACCGCAUGAGAUCUACGGAUGAAAGCAGGGGAUCGAAAGACCUUGUUCUACUAGAGCAGUCGAUGGCAGAUUAGGUAGUUGGUGGGAUGAGGGCUUACCAAGCCGACGAUCUGUAGCUGGUCUGAGAGUACGAUAAGCCACACUGGGACUGAGAAACGGCCCAGACUCCUACGGGAGGCAGCAGUGGGGAAUUUUGGACAAUGGGCGCAAGCCUGAUCCAGCAAUGCCGCGUGCAGGAUGAAGGCCUUCGGGUUGUAAACUGCUUUUGUACGGAACGAAAAGCCCCGGGUUAAUACCCUGGGGUCAUGACGGUACCGUAAGAAUAAGCACCGGCUAACUACGUGCCAGCAGCCGCCGUAA